UACAGAGGUCCCAAGCGUUGUUCGGAUUCACUGGGCGUAAAGGGUGCGUAGGUGGUGAGGUAAGUCGGAUGUGAAAGCUCGGAGCUCAACUCCGAAAUGGCAUUGGAAACUACCUUGCUCGAGGGUUGGAGGGGGGACUGGAAUGCUUGGUGUAGCAGUGAAAUGCGUAGAUAUCAAGCGGAACACCAGUGGCGAAGGCGAGUCCCUGGACAGUUCCUGACACUGAGACACGAAGGCCAGGGGAGCAAACGGG
rnacentral:rRNA from 1 species